rnacentral:lncRNA from 1 species
CAUCGCCACUUCCACCUCCCUCACGGUCCUUCAUGAGGACUGCCGCCUUCAGGAGACUUCUGAUGAUCCCCAACCAGAGUGGUCACUUUCUGCUUUCCACUGCCUGGGUCACUGUGUUUCUUCAAAAGGCGCCACUCGUUUUUUUCUUUUUGAGGAAGAUUAGCCCUGAGCUAACUACUGCCAGUCCUCCUGUUUUUUGCUGAGGAAGUCUGGCCCUGAGCUAACAUCGUGCCCAUCUUCCUCUACUUUAUAUGUGGGACGCCUACCACAGUAUGGCUUGCCAAGCGGUGCCAUGUCCACACCCGGGAUCUAAACCGGCGAACCCUGGGCCGUCAAGAAGAGGAACGUGCGAACUUAACCACUGCGCCACCGGGCCGGCCCCUAAAAGCCGCCACUCUUAUUCUUCCCACUACUGCUGCUGUCUGCGUAGAUGCCCCUGUCCCUCACCAGACUCAGGAUCCUUGAGGGCAGGGACCAGCCCCUAGCGUAGGGGCUGUAACAAGACCGGCAUCCAGUGAUUGUGGAAGUGAACCGCAUCGACUUGCUCGUGGACCCAGAUAGAAUCGACCUGUAGGCAGACUCGCCUCCUCGGUCAUCUCUCCACCCCUGCCCAAAGGAGCAGCCUUUGGUUUUAGAUACCCGAAAUUCUUCCGGAACGUCAGUUUGGCCUUCCUGGUUCAUCACUGUCGUUUUGGCAUUUCCUUGGUGCUCCUUCUAAAGGCUCCUGACCCCUCGGGACAAACACGCCACUUCAGUUUGCGCCACUUCUGAUGGAUUGGUAGUGGUUCUCCUAGAAUAUCAUGAUGAUAAGGAUUCUGUAGACGACAGGGGGCUGCUCAGAAGAAAGAGCAUUAAGAUGGCUUAGCAAUGUCUGCCUUGCGGGAGGAAGGGCUCCUCUGCCUUAAUGUGAAGAGGUAGUUUGUUGAAUGCUUUUCCUACAUUAAGCCAAGACUGAGAGUGUGGGCUUUUGCCUCUGGCGGACGCUCAGGGAAGGUGAGGAGAAGAGUAGCCGAGGGCUCCAAAGGCAGCUCAGGCCUUCAAGAAUGGCAAGACCGAAUCAAACGUGAAUAAUCUCUGGAGGUGUUUUAUUUCAUGUCUCUCUAACUUUGCCC